ensembl:processed_transcript
AUUUCACGUGGAGCAGGUCGCCCCCUAAUGGCCACAACAUCAUUCGACCAAAUUCAUCGAAGCUGAGACUGCAUCUCAGUGAUGCAAAUGUCACAAUAACACUCAUGGAAUUGGUGGUUCAAUCUGCUGUGGCGACGACUGAUAAACCAUGGGAUUUGGUCACAUCACAUGAACUGACCCCUUAGUUUCCUUUGGCUGGACUGGCGCCAGGGUGAUUUUCCGCUGCUCUGCAAGAAGAUACCGCUGCAGUGACUUUGGCACAGGAAGGUUGGGAAUGAUUGACCAGCAGUUCUUUCCAAACUGUUUUCUCAGAGCAGACCGACACAGAUGCAGCAAACUACGUGGUUUAUAUUCCAGUGCAAAAAGAGACUCAUAAAAUGGUCUGUGAAGCUAAAAAAAGAAUAUUAAAAUGCAAUAAAGUGUAUGCA